UCUAUAGAACAGGAUGUAGCAAGUGCAAAGGAAAUGCCUGGUCAGGGAACAUCAGAUUCAGCUAACUCCCAAGGAAAUUCAACACCACAUCCUCAGGUCCCUGGUUACCCUCCAGACUGUGUUGUAUUCCUGAAUAACUUACCAGAAGAGACUAAUGAGAGGAUGAUGUUUCAUGCUAUCAUAUCAGUUCCCGCUUUCAACAAAGUAUGUUUGGUACCUGGGAGACAUGACAUUGCUGUUGUUGAAUUUGAAAAUGAUGGACAGGCCAAAGCUGUCAGGGAUGCUUUGCAAGAAUUCAGGAUCACAGCAUCCCAUACCAUGGGGGUCACCUAUGUCAAUAAAUAAUACUGA
rnacentral:lncRNA from 1 species